rnacentral:rRNA from 1 species
GUGAACGCUGGCGGCGUGGAUAAGGCAUGCAAGUCGAGUGGGUUUAGACCCAUGGCAGACGAGGUAGUAAUACGUAGGAACUUACCCCAGAGUCGGGCAUAUUCCAUCGAAAGAUGGCGCAAUUCCCGAUGGUCCCUGAUCCUGAGAGUAAUCGAAGGAGAAGGGUAAAGGAGCAAUUCGCUCUGGGAGAGGCCUGCGCAAUAUCAGCUAGUUGGUGAGGUAAUGGCUCACCAAGGCUAUGACGUUUAGGGGCGCUGAGAGGCGGACCCCCACCGAUCGCACUGAGACACGGGCGAUACCUCUACGGAGGGCUGCAGCCGAGAAUAUUCCGCAAUGGACGAAAGUCUGACGGAGCGACGCCGCGUGAUGGAUGAAGUCCUUCGGGACGUAAACAUCUUUUAUCGGGGAUGAAGUUUUGACAGUACCCGAGGAAUAAGGGGCUCCUAACUCUGU